GGAUUCCCCUAGUAACUGCGAGUGAAGCGGGAAAAGCUCAAAUUUAAAAUCUGGCAGUCUCUGGCUGUCCGAGUUGUAAUCUAGAGAAGUAAUGCCCRUGCUGGACCGUGUAUAAGUCUCCUGGGAUGGGGCGUCAUAGAGGGUGAGAAUCCCGUCUUUGACACGGACUACCAGUGCAUUGUGGUAUGCUCUCAAAGAGUCGAGUUGUUUGGGAAUGCAGCUCAAAAUGGGUGGUAAAUUCCAUCUAAAGCUAAAUAUUGGCGAGAGACCGAUAGCGAACAAGUACCGUGAGGGAAAGAUGAAAAGAACUUUGGAAAGAGAGUUAAACAGUACGUGAAAUUGCUGAAAGGGAAACGCUUGAAGUCAGUCGYGUUGGCCGGGAAUCAGCCUUGCAUUUGCAUGGUGUACUUUCUGGUUGACGGGUCAGCAUCAAUUUUGACCGCUGGAAAAGGACCUGGGGAAUGUGGCAGCUUCGGCUGUGUUAUAGCCCCUAGUCGCAUACAGUGGUUGGGAUUGAGGAACUCAGCACGCCGCAAGGCCGGGUUUCGACCACGUUCGUGCUUAGGAUGCUGGCAUAAUGGCUUUAAGCGACCCGUCUUGAAACACGGACCAAGGAGUCUAACAUGCCUGCGAGUAUUUGGGUGGAAAACCCAAGUGCGUAAUGAAAGUGAAAGUUGAGAUCCCUGUCGUGGGGAGCAUCGACGCCCGGACCAGAACUUUUGGGACGGAUCCGCGGUGGAGCAUGUAUGUUGGGACCCGAAAGAUGGUGAACUAUGCCUGAAUAGGGUGAAGCCAGAGGAAACUCUGGUGGAGGCUCGUAGCGAUUCUGACGUGCAAAUCGAUCGUCAAAUUUGGGUAUAGGGGCGAAAGACUAAUCGAACCAUCUUAGUGGC
rnacentral:rRNA from 1 species